GAACGCCGGCGGCGUGCCUAAUACAUGCAAGUUAAGCGCUGAAGGUUGGUACUUGUACCGACUGGAUGAGCAGCGAACGGGUGAGUAAUGCGUGGGGAAUCUGCCUUUGAGCGGGGGACAACAUUCGGAAACGAAUGCUAAUACCGCAUAAAAACUUUAAACACAAGUUUUAAGUUUGAAAGAUGCAAUUGCAUCACUCAAAGAUGAUCCCGCGUUGUAUUAGCUAGUUGGUGAGGUAAAGGCUCACCAAGGCGAUGAUACAUAGCCGACCUGAGAGGGUGAUCGGCCACAUUGGGAGUGAGACACGGCCCAAACUCCUACGGGAGGCAGCAGUAGGGAAUCUUCGGCAAUGGACGAAAGUCUGACCGAGCAACGCCGCGUGAGUGAAGAAGGUUUUCGGAUCGUAAAACUCUGUUGGUAGAGAAGAACGUUGAUGAGAGUGGAAAG
rnacentral:rRNA from 1 species